rnacentral:rRNA from 1 species
UACGUAGGCAGCAAGCGUUGUUCGGAAUUACUGGGCGUAAAGAGUGUGUAGGCGGUGCUCUAAGUUCGGUGUGAAAUCUCCCGGCUUAACUGGGAGGGUGCGCCGGAAACUGGAGUGCUCGAGCGUGGGAGAGGAAAGCGGAAUUCCUGGUGUAGCGGUGAAAUGCGUAGAUAUCAUUUGGAACGCCAAUGGUGAAAACAGGUAGCUGGGAGUGUGCUGACGCUGAGACACGAAAGCCAGGGGAGCGAACGGG